CUCUGGUUCUAUUUUGUGGUUUUAGGACCGGAGUAAUGAUUAAUAGGGAUAGUUGGGGGCAUUAGUAUUUAAUUGUCAGAGGUGAAAUUCUUGGAUUUAUGAAAGACUAACUUCUGCGAAAGCAUUUGCCAAGGAUGUUUCCAUUGAUCAAGAACGAAAGUUAGGGGAUCGAAGACGAUCAGAUACCGUCGUAGUCUUAACCAUAAACUAUGCCAGCUCCGGAUCGGUCGGUGUUAAUUUAUGACCCGAUCGGCACGGUGUGAGAAAUCAAAGCUUUUGGGUUCUGGGGGGAGUAUGGUCGCAAGGCUGAAACUUAAAGGAAUUGACGGAAGGGCACCACCAGGAGUGGAGCCUGCGGCUUAAUUUGACUCAACACGG
rnacentral:rRNA from 1 species